rnacentral:lncRNA from 1 species
GAAAACAUUUUUUACCCCCAAGUGUUUUACGGGCCCAUGAUGUUUCGAGUAUACAAGAGGAAAAUGUAAUUUUAUGGAGUUUAAAAGGAGAAAUGGCUUCUAAAAGGGCAAAUUAUAUCCUUCCAAGAAAAGGAUGUACUUUGUAUAACGUGUCCACCUUAGAAAGUCAAAGUAAGGUGCACGGUGCAAUUAAGUGAGUACAAAUGAUCUACUUUGUUUGGGAUUUCAAUUCUAAAGUAAGUGCAUUUGGAGUCUUCUACUAAAUAGUUGGAGGAGGUACUCCACUAAAAGCAAUAUUUGCAAAGUGACUAUAUUGAUCGUCACUUUAUAUUGUUUUCAUUUUUUAUAAAAAUCUUACAAAUAUUUCUUUUAAGGUAGGUUUUAU